UGAAAGAAGCUAGACACCAAAGGUCACAUACCACAUGAUUCCAUUUAUAUGAAAUGUCCAGAAUAGGCAAAUCCAUGGUGACAGAAAGCAGUUUAACAGUUGACAGG